rnacentral:rRNA from 1 species
GACGAACCGUGCGAACGUUAUUCGGAAUCACUGGGCUUAAAGGGCGCGUAGGCGGGCUGUCAAGUCUGGGGUGAAAUCCCACGGCUCAACCGUGGAACUGCCUCAGAUACUGACGGCCUCGAGGGAGGUAGGGGCAUGCGGAACUGUAGGUGGAGCGGUGAAAUGCGUUGAUAUCUACAGGAACUCCGGUGGCGAAAGCGGCGUGCUGGACCUUCUCUGACGCUGAGGCGCGAAAGCUAGGGGAGCAAACGGG